CGAAUUUUCAGAAAACWAACGGCGGCCAUGACACUUUUCCCGCAUCCUAUCAUUGUUUACAUCACACGGAGAGAUAGUUACAGAUACCACCAGCGCUCGCUCCUGCCUCACGGCCGGCCUGCCCUCUGUGAUCUACCCCAGGCUUCUGUCUUUCCCCCGGUGGGGUGAAGACUAGCAGAAGAGGGCGAUGUCCUUCUUGCCUCAGAAAGUGCUGGGCAUCAGCAGGGGUGGAUUGGCUGGACGCUGUUGACCAGGAGCAGCAUGGGGAGUUUCCAAUUCAGCACUGACUUGCUUGAGAGACACCAGACCAACGUUGGUCCAGUGUGAACUGGCGGCCAGCAGUGGAUUGCCCGACCGCCUUCUUUGCAUGUCCACUGUUCCUCUGGAUGCCCCUUUGUAUGUAGGCAUUUACACUGACAUGCCCCCAGCCUGGGUGAGGGCGUAAUUCGUCACAGACUUGCUUGAGACACCAGACUAACGAUGGUCCAGUGUCCAGUGUUGUUUUCCACAUUUUGUACAGGUGUGGCAUGUGGUGUGAGCUAAUGUUCAAUGUUCCCCUCCUGUGAAAAUGUACAGUUAUUUAUUUUUGCAGACUUAAAUAAAUAGUUUUUAAAUUAAUUACA